rnacentral:rRNA from 1 species
UACGGAGGGGGCUAGCGUUGUUCGGAAUUACUGGGCGUAAAGCGCACGUAGGCGGCUUUGCAAGUUAGAGGUGAAAGCCCGGGGCUCAACUCCGGAAUUGCCUUUAAGACUGCAUCGCUAGAAUCGUGGAGAGGUGAGUGGAAUUCCGAGUGUAGAGGUGAAAUGCGUAGAUAUCGGAAGGAACACCUGUGGCGAAAGCGGCUCACUGGACCAUUACUGACGCUGAGGCACGAAAGCUAGGGGAGCAAACAGG